rnacentral:RNase_P_RNA from 1 species
GUCCUCAGGAGAAAAUUCAUAGCACUAAAUGCCUUCAUAAAAAAAGACAGAAAGUUGGGAAGGUCUGAGACUAGGGCCUCCACCCGCAGCCCUAGCAGGGCUCUCCCUGAGCCUGGGGAGGUGAGCUCCCAGAGAGCAGGGCUCCUCGUGAGGGCAGAAUGGGCAGGAGAAGCCGGUGCCUCCAGGCGGUCUGGCGGAUGCCUCCCUAACCGGAGCUUGGAACAGACUCACGGCCAGCCAAGCAAGUUCAAUGGCUGAGGUGAGGCAACGAGAGCCUCAUAACCCAAUUCAGACUACUCUACCCGGCC